rnacentral:rRNA from 1 species
CACGUAGGGGGCGAGCGUUGUCCGGAUUUAUUGGGCGUAAAGAGCUCGUAGGCGGUUCGGCAAGUCGGGGGUGAAAUUUCGAGGCUCAACCUCGAAACGCCACUCGAUACUGCUGUGACUGGAGUCCGGUAGAGGAGUGCGGAAUUCCUGGUGUAGCGGUGAAAUGCGCAGAUAUCAGGAGGAACACCAACGGCGAAGGCAGCACUCUGGGCCGGUACUGACGCUGAGGAGCGAAAGCGUGGGGAGCAAACAGG